rnacentral:rRNA from 1 species
AGGACGAACGCUGGCGGCAUGCCUAACACAUGCAAGUCGAACGGAACUUGUUGAAUGAAGUUCUCGGAUGGAUUUUAGCAAGUUUAGUGGCGGACUGGUGAGUAACGCGUGAGGAACCUGCCUUUCAGAGGGGGACAACAGUUGGAAACGACUGCUAAUACCGCAUGAUACAUUCGGGCGGCAUCGCUUGAAUGUCAAAGAUUUUAUCGCUGAAAGAUGGCCUCGCGUCCCAUUAGAUAGUUGGCGGGGUAACGGCCCACCAAGUCGACGAUGGGUAGCCGGACUGAGAGGUUGACCGGCCACAUUGGGACUGAGAUACGGCCCAGACUCCUACGGGAGGCAGCAGUGGGGAAUAUUGCACAAUGGGGGAAACCCUGAUGCAGCAACGCCGCGUGAGUGAUGACGGCCUUCGGGUUGUAAAGCUCUGUCUUCAGGGACGAUAAUGACGGUACCUGAGGAGGAAGCCACGGCUAACUACGUG